CACGUAGGGCGCAAGCGUUGUCCGGAAUUAUUGGGCGUAAAGAGCUCGUAGGCGGACUGUCACGUCUGCUGUGAAAAGCUGGGGCUUAACCCUGGCCUUGCAGUGGAUACGGGCAGACUAGAGGUAGGUAGGGGAGAAUGGAAUUCCCGGUGUAGCGGUGAAAUGCGCAGAUAUCGGGAGGAACACCGGUGGCGAAGGCGGCUCUCUGGUCCACAACUGACGCUGAGGUGCGAAAGCUAGGGGAGCAAACGGG
rnacentral:rRNA from 1 species